GAUCAUGGCUCAGGAUGAACGCUAGCUACAGGCUUAACACAUGCAAGUCGAGGGGAAACGAUAGAGAAAGCUUGCUUUUUCUAGGCGUCGACCGGCGCACGGGUGAGUAACGCGUAUCCAACCUGGCCCAUACCACGGGAUAGCCCGUCGAAAGGCGGAUUAAUACCGUAUGCUGUCGUUAAGAUGCAUAUAUUGAUGACGAAAGGACUGGCGGUAUGGGAUGGGGAUGCGUCUGAUUAGCUUGUUGGCGGGGUAACGGCCCACCAAGGCGACGAUCAGUAGGGGUUCUGAGAGGAAGGUCCCCCACAUUGGAACUGAGACACGGUCCAAACUCCUACGGGAGGCAGCAGUGAGGAAUAUUGGUCAAUGGGCGCAAGCCUGAACCAGCCAAGUAGCGUGAGGGAAGACUGCCCUACGGGUUGUAAACCUCUUUUGUUUGGGAAUAAAGUGCGGGACGUGUCCCGCAUUGCAUGUACCAUUUGAAUAAGGACCGGCUAAUUCCGUG
rnacentral:rRNA from 1 species